CUCCGGAUCCAGUGCCAGGCGCAGCCUCUCUGCGCACGGCCCGCUGCAGCCAUCUUGAAUCUUGAGGGCAGUCUUCUGCUUCUGCCUGGAGGCUGAGGUGUCAGUGUGGCCAUUUUGCGCCAGGAACUGUUGUCUGAGCUGCUGAGUGAGGCUUCUGCCUGUGACCCCCUGUGAACAGGUAACACCAGACUGAGCACAAAGGAAGAAAACAAAGGUCACAUGGAGAAAACUUGGAGAAAGCGCUCCAACAUGGAGAUGUCAACUUGAGUGACAGCCCCGUGCGAGGUGCUUGCACCGGCUUGCCUCCUUCACACGCAUCACUUCACAGAAAUGAUGACUGCCAUUUGAACAGAAAGACAUCCUUCCCGACCGGGGUCAGGAAACUGACAGGGCCCACCCGUUAAUAGAAAAAACUGUCAUUUUAAAUAAAAUGCUUGGUGGAAAACUUCAGAAAUCUAUUAGAUAACAGGGGGCCCGUGGUCGGGGCACCCAUGAAUCAUGGGC
rnacentral:lncRNA from 1 species